AGAGUUUGAUCCUGGCUCAGGAUGAACGCUAGCUACAGGCUUAACACAUGCAAGUCGAGGGGCAGCAUGGUCUUAGCUUGCUAAGGCCGAUGGCGACCGGCGCACGGGUGAGUAACACGUAUCCAACCUGCCGUCUACUCUUGGACAGCCUUCUGAAAGGAAGAUUAAUACAAGAUGGCAUCAUGAGUCCGCAUGUUCACAUGAUUAAAGGUAUUCCGGUAGACGAUGGGGAUGCGUUCCAUUAGAUAGUAGGCGGGGUAACGGCCCACCUAGUCUUCGAUGGAUAGGGGUUCUGAGAGGAAGGUCCCCCACAUUGGAACUGAGACACGGUCCAAACUCCUACGGGAGGCAGCAGUGAGGAAUAUUGGUCAAUGGGCGAGAGCCUGAACCAGCCAAGUAGCGUGAAGGAUGACUGCCCUAUGGGUUGUAAACUUCUUUUAUAAAGGAAUAAAGUCGGGUAUGGAUACCCGUUUGCAUGUACUUUAUGAAUAAGGAUCGGCUAACUCCGUGCCAGCAGCCGCGGUAAUACGGAGGAUCCGAGCGUUAUCCGGAUUUAUUGGGUUUAAAGGGAGCGUAGAUGGAUGUUUAAGUCAGUUGUGAAAGUUUGCGGCUCAACCGUAAAAUUGCAGUUGAUACUGGAUAUCUUGAGUGCAGUUGAGGCAGGCGGAAUUCGUGGUGUAGCGGUGAAAUGCUUAGAUAUCACGAAGAACUCCGAUUGCGAAGGCAGCCUGCUAAGCUGCAACUGACAUUGAGGCUCGAAAGUGUGGGUAUCAAACAGGAUUAGAUACCCUGGUAGUCCACACGGUAAACGAUGAAUACUCGCUGUUUGCGAUAUACUGCAAGCGGCCAAGCGAAAGCGUUAAGUAUUCCACCUGGGGAGUACGCCGGCAACGGUGAAACUCAAAGGAAUUGACGGGGGCCCGCACAAGCGGAGGAACAUGUGGUUUAAUUCGAUGAUACGCGAGGAACCUUACCCGGGCUUAAAUUGCAGAUGAAUUACGGUGAAAGCCGUAAGCCGCAAGGCAUCUGUGAAGGUGCUGCAUGGUUGUCGUCAGCUCGUGCCGUGAGGUGUCGGCUUAAGUGCCAUAACGAGCGCAACCCUUGUUGUCAGUUACUAACAGGUUCCGCUGAGGACUCUGACAAGACUGCCAUCGUAAGAUGUGAGGAAGGUGGGGAUGACGUCAAAUCAGCACGGCCCUUACGUCCGGGGCUACACACGUGUUACAAUGGGGGGUACAGAGGGCCGCUACCACGCGAGUGGAUGCCAAUCCCCAAAACCUCUCUCAGUUCGGACUGGAGUCUGCAACCCGACUCCACGAAGCUGGAUUCGCUAGUAAUCGCGCAUCAGCCACGGCGCGGUGAAUACGUUCCCGGGCCUUGUACACACCGCCCGUCAAGCCAUGGGAGCCGGGGGUACCUGAAGUGCGUAACCGCGAGGAGCGCCCUAGGGUAAAACUGGUGACUGGGGCUAAGUCGUAACAAGGUAGCCGUACCGGAAGGUGCGGCUG
rnacentral:rRNA from 4 species